GAGGGGCCCGCGUCCGAUUAGCUAGUUGGCGAGGUAACGGCUCACCAAGGCUCCGAUCGGUAUCCGGCCUGAGAGGGCAGACGGACACACUGGGACUGAGACACGGCCCAGACUCCUACGGGAGGCAGCAGUGGGGAAUUGUUCGCAAUGGGCGCAAGCCUGACGACGCAAUGCCGCGUGGAGGAUGAAGACCUUCGGGUCGUAAACUCCUUUCGACCGAGAUGAAGACCGACCGGCCUAAUAUGCCGGUCGAUUGACAGUAUCGAGGGAAGCAGCCCCGGCUAACUCCGUGCCAGCAGCCGCGGUAAUACGGGGGGGGCAAGCGUUGUUCGGAAUUACUGGGCGUAAAGGGUUUGUAGGUGGCUCGCUAAGUCACACGUGAAAUCCCUCAGCUUAACUGGGGAACUGCGUGUGAGACUGGCAAGCUCGAGUGCAGGAGAGGAACGCGGAAUUCCAGGUGUAGCGGUGAAAUGCGUAGAUAUCUGGAGG
rnacentral:rRNA from 1 species